rnacentral:rRNA from 16 species
CACUUUGUGAUUCAUGACUGGGGUGAAGUCGUAACAAGGUAACCGUAGGGGAACCUGCGGUUGGAUCACCUCCUUA